AACGAACGCUGGCGGCAGGCCUAACACAUGCAAGUCGAACGCCCCGCAAGGGGAGUGGCAGACGGGUGAGUAACGCGUGGGAACGUGCCUUUCGGUUCGGAAUAGGCCGGGGAAACCCGGGUUAAUACCGGAUACGUCCUUCGGGAGAAAGAUUUAUCGCCGAGAGAUCGGCCCGCGUCUGAUUAGCUAGUUGGCGGGGUAAUGGCCCACCAAGGCGACGAUCAGUAGCUGGUCUGAGAGGAUGAUCCGCCACACUGGGGCUGGGACACGGCCCAGACUCCUACGGGAGGCAGCGGUGGGAAAUAUUGGACAAUGGGCGCAAGCCUGAUCCAGCCUUGCCGCGUGGGUGAAGAGGGCCCUAGGGUUGUAAAGCUUUUUCGGGGGGGACGAUAAUGACGGUACCCGCAGAAGAAGCCCCGGCUAACUUCGUGCCAGCCGCCGAAGUAA
rnacentral:rRNA from 1 species